UACGGAGGGUGCGAGCGUUAAUCGGAAUUACUGGGCGUAAAGCGCAUGCAGGUGGAUGAUUAAGUCAGAUGUGAAAGCCCGGGGCUCAACCUCGGAAUUGCAUUUGAAACUGGUCAUCUAGAGUACUGUAGAGGGGGGUAGAAUUUCAGGUGUAGCGGUGAAAUGCGUAGAGAUCUGAAGGAAUACCGGUGGCGAAGGCGGCCCCCUGGACAGAUACUGACACUCAGAUGCGAAAGCGUGGGGAGCAAACAGG
rnacentral:misc_RNA from 1 species